UACGUAGGGUGCAAGCGUUGUCCGGAAUCAUUGGGCGUAAAGCGCGCGUAGGCGGCCCGUUAAGUCCGCUGUAAAAGUCAACGGCUCAACUGUUGAAAGCCGGUGGAUACUGUCGGGCUAGAGUACGGAAGAGGCAAGUGGAAUUCCUGGUGUAGCGGUGGAAUGCGCAGAUAUCAGGAGGAACACCGGUGGCGAAGGCGGGUCUCUGGGACGUGACUGACGCUGAGACGCGAAAGCGUGGGGAGCAAACAGG
rnacentral:rRNA from 1 species